rnacentral:rRNA from 1 species
UGCCAGCCGCCGCGGUAACACGAACCGUACGAACGUUAUUCGGAAUCACUGGGCUUAAAGCGUGCGUAGGCGGCCUAGCAAGUUGGGUGUGAAAGCCCUCGGCUCAACCGAGGAAUUGCGCCCAAAACUGCUAGACUUGAGGAAGAUAGAGGUGAGCGGAACUGAUGGUGGAGCGGUGAAAUGCGUUGAUAUCAUUAGGAACACCGGUGGCGAAAGCGGCUCACUGGGUCUUUUCUGACGCUGAGGUACGAAAGCUAGGGGAGCGAACGGGAUUAGAUA